AAAAAUAAAAAUUGAAAAAGAUGCAAGCCAAGCUGGAUAAAAGUCUCAAAGAAAAGGAGUUGGUGGAUGAUUUUAAUGAAAGUCUUUUGAGAAACAAGGAGAUAUGACAAAAGAUCAUUGUGAAAACUGAAGACAGGUAAACUUGGUUAUCAAGGAGCUCGUUGAGGAAAAGGAUGAAGAAGAAGAAAAGUUGAAUAGAAUUAUUGCGGGGCCGUCGGCUGAAAAAGAAAAAAGAUAAGGUGGAUAAAGAUACUAUGCUCGAUAGGAUAUCACAAGUUGAA